rnacentral:rRNA from 1 species
AUGCAGUCGAACGGUAACAGGUCUUCGGAUGCUGACGAGUGGCGAACGGGUGAGUAAUACAUCGGAACGUGCCCGAUCGUGGGGGAUAACGAGGCGAAAGCUUUGCUAAUACCGCAUACGAUCUACGGAUGAAAGCGGGGGAUCUUCGGACCUCGCGCGGACGGAGCGGCCGAUGGCAGAUUAGGUAGUUGGUGGGAUAAAAGCUUACCAAGCCGACGAUCUGUAGCUGGUCUGAGAGGAUGAUCAGCCACACUGGGACUGAGACACGGCCCAGACUCCUACGGGAGGCAGCAGUGGGGAAUUUUGGACAAUGGGCGAAAGCCUGAUCCAGCCAUGCCGCGUGCAGGAUGAAGGCCUUCGGGUUGUAAACUGCUUUUGUACGGAACGAAAAGCCUCUUUCUAAUAAAGAGGGGUCAUGACGGUACCGUAAGAAUAAGCACCGGCUAACUACGUGCCAGCAGCC